rnacentral:sRNA from 1 species
UCAUAGCCCCGAUAGAAGUGGCAUCCUUUUUUGCUGGGGGAAAAGCCUAGGCAAAAAAGAUAUAGCGGAUAGCGGGAAAUAGC